UACAUGGGGUGCAAACGUUGCUCGGAAUUAUUGGGCGUAAAGCGCGCGUAGGCGGUUACUUAAGUCGGAUGUGAAAGCCCUCGGCUUAACUGAGGAAGUGCACCCGAAACUGAGUAGCUAGAGUACGAAAGAGGGUCGCGGAAUUCCCGGUGUAGAGGUGAAAUUCGUAGAUAUCGGGGAGGAACACCGGUGGCGAAGGCGG
rnacentral:rRNA from 1 species